GAUGAACGCUGGCGGCGUGCCUAAUACAUGCAAGUCGAGCGAACAGAUGAGGAGCUUGCUCCUCUGACGUUGGCGGCGGACGGGUGAGUAACACGUGGAUAACCUACCUAUAAGACUGGGAUAACUUCGGGAAACCGGAGCUAAUACCGGAUAAUAUAUUGAACCGCAUGGGGCAAUAGUGAAAGACGGUUUUGCGGUCACUUAUAGAUGGAUCCGCGCCGCAUUAGCUAGUUGUUAAGGUAACGGCUUACCAAGGCAACGAGGCGUAGCCGACCUGAGAGGGUGAUCGGCGACACUGGAACUGAGACACGGUCCAGACUCCUACGGGAGGCAGCAGUAGGGAAUCUUCCGCAAUGGGCGAAAGCCUGACGGAGCAACGCCGCGUGAGUGAUGAAGGUCUUCGGAUCGUAAAACUCUGUUAUUAGGGAAGAACAAAUGUGUAAGUAACUAUGCACGUAUUGACGGUAACUAAUCAGAAAGCCACGGCUAACUACGUG
rnacentral:rRNA from 1 species